rnacentral:lncRNA from 1 species
CCGACAUUCGAGAUUCCACCGGACAGUAGGAAUUCCGAUACCGGAGUCUAGCCGGGUAUUACAUAUAUGAUAUAUAAAAUAUAUUAUUAGAACUAUAUAUUAGAAUUAUAAUAUCACUAUCGGUUCUUUGGUACUAUUCCAGUUCGAUUUUGGUACUAUUUUUGAUAAAAAAAUCAGAAUCAGAAUUAAAACUAAAUAGUUAAAUAAAUUCAGUUUGGUACGGUUAUGAUGUCUAAGAUCCGAGAAUGGAUUUAAACUCAGGAGAGUUUUUG